AGAGUUUGAUCCUGGCUCAGAACUAACGCUAGCGGCGUGCCUAACACAUGCAAGUCGUACGAGAAAGUUUCCUUCGGGAGAUGAGUACAGUGGCGCACGGGUGAGUAACGCGUGGAUAAUCUACCUUCCAGACAGGAAUAACCCACCGAAAGGUGGGCUAAUACCGGAUGAUACUGAAGYGUUUCGGCGUUUCAGUCAAAGAUGGCCUCUCCAWGGAAGCUGUCGCUGGAGGAUGAGUCCGCGUACCAUUAGCUUGUUGGUGGGGUAAGAGCCUACCAAGGCGACGAUGGUUAGCUGGUCUGAGAGGACGACCAGCCACACUGGAACUGAGAUACGGUCCAGACUCCUACGGGAGGCAGCAGUGAGGAAUCUUGCGCAAUGGGGGAAACCCUGACGCAGCAACGCCGCGUGAGUGAGGAAGGUCUUCGGAUCGUAAAGCUCUGUCAGAUGGGAAGAAGUGUCGUUGGGUUAACAGCCCUUCGGCUUGACGGUACCAUCAGAGGAAGCACCGGCAAACUCCGUGCCAGCAGCCGCGGUAAUACGGGGGGUGCA
rnacentral:rRNA from 1 species